GACGAACGCUGGCGGCGUGCUUAACACAUGCAAGUCGAACGGAAAGGCCCUGCUUUUGUGGGGUGCUCGAGUGGCGAACGGGUGAGUAACACGUGAGUAACCUGCCCUUGACUUUGGGAUAACUUCAGGAAACUGGGGCUAAUACCGGAUAGGAGCUCCUGCUGCAUGGUGGGGGUUGGAAAGUUUCGGCGGUUGGGGAUGGACUCGCGGCUUAUCAGCUUGUUGGUGGGGUAGUGGCUUACCAAGGCUUUGACGGGUAGCCGGCCUGGGAGGGAGACCGGGCCCAGGGGGACAGGGGAGGGACCCGUGCGCACUCGGGGGGAAGGGGGGGGAACUUGUUCCAGCGGGGCGGAGGGGGGAAAGAAGGACGCCGGGUGGGGGAGCACGGCCUGGGGGGUGGAAACCGCUUUAGCUUAUACCGAGGGGUGUGGACGGGAAAGGGGGAAAGAACCCCGGCUAAAUUAGGG
rnacentral:rRNA from 1 species